rnacentral:rRNA from 1 species
UACGUAGGGUGCAAGCGUUUGUCCGGAAUUAUUGGGCGUAAAGAGCUUGUAGGUGGUUUGUCGCGUCUGCUGUGAAAAUCCGAGGCUCAACCUCGGACUUGCAGUGGGUACGGGCAGACUAGAGUGUGGUAGGGGAGACUGGAAUUCCUGGUGUAGCGGUGGAAUGCGCAGAUAUCAGGAGGAACACCGAUGGCGAAGGCAGGUCUCUGGGCCAUUACUGACACUGAGGAGCGAAAGCGUGGGGAGCGAACAGG